rnacentral:rRNA from 1 species
CCCCUAGUAACUGCGAGUGAAGCGGGAAAAGCUCAAAUUUAAAAUCUGGCGGUCUUCGGCCGUCCGAGUUGUAGUCUGGAGAAGUGCUUUCCGCGCUGGACCGUGUACAAGUCUCUUGGAACAGAGCGUCAUAGAGGGUGAGAAUCCCGUCUUUGACACGGACUACCAGUGCUUUGUGAUGCGCUCUCAAAGAGUCGAGUUGUUUGGGAAUGCAGCUCAAAAUGGGUGGUAAAUUCCAUCUAAAGCUAAAUAUUGGCGAGAGACCGAUAGCGAACAAGUACCGUGAGGGAAAGAUGAAAAGCACUUUGGAAAGAGAGUUAAACAGUACGUGAAAUUGCUGAAAGGGAAACGAUUGAAGUCAGUCGCGUUAGCCAGGACUCAGCCUUGUUUUUACUUGGUGCAUUUUCUGGUUGACGGGCCAGCAUCGAUUUUGACUGCCGGAAAAAGAUUGGGGGAAUGUGGCACCUUCGGGUGUGUUAUAGCCCUCAGUCACAUACGGCGAUUGGGAUCGAGGACCGCAGCACGCCUUUAUGGCCGGGGUUCGCCCACGUUCGUGCUUAGGAUGCUGGCGUAAUGGCUUUAAACGACCCGUCUUGAAACACGGACCAAGGAGUCUAACAUGCCUGCGAGUGUUUGGGUGGAAAACCCGAGCGCGUAAUGAAAGUGAAAGUUGAGAUCCCUGUCGCGGGGAGCAUCGACGCCCGGACUUGAACUUCGGUGAUAGAUCUGCGGUAGAGCAUGUAUGUUGGGACCCGAAAGAUGGUGAACUAUGCCUGAAUAGGGUGAAGCCAGAGGAAACUCUGGUGGAGGCUCGUAGCGAUUCUGACGUGCAAAUCGAUCGUCAAAUUUGGGUAUAGGGGCGAAAGAC